rnacentral:rRNA from 1 species
AACGCUGGCGGCGUGCAUAACACAUUCAAGUCGAACGGACUUAAGGGCUUCGGUCCUUGAGUUAGUGGCGGACGGGUGAGUAACGCGUGAGUAAUCUGCCUCUGUGUGCGGGAUAACAACCGGAAACAGUUGCUAAUACCGCAUGACGUAUAGAGAACGCAUGUUCUUUAUACCAAAGGCUUGCUGCACAGAGAGUGGGCUCGCGUUGGAUUAGAUAGUUGGUAGGGUAACGGCCUACCAAGUCUGCGAUCCAUAGCCGGACUGAGAGGUUGAACGGCCACAUUGGAACUGAGAUACGGUCCAGACUCCGUACGGGAGGCAGCAGGUGGGGAAUUAGUUGGGCAAUGGGGGAACCCUGACCCAGCAACGCCGCGUGGAGGAAGAAGGUUUUCGGAUUGUAAACCUCUUUCAGCAGGGAAGAAGCAAGUGACGGUACCUGCAGAAGAAGUCACGGCUAACAACGUG